UACGUAGGGUGCGAGCGUUGUCCGGAAUUAUUGGGCGUAAAGGGUGCGUAGGCGGUCGCGCAAGUCGGAUGUGAAAUCUCGGGGCUCAACCCCGAAACUGCAUUCGAUACUGCGUGGCUAGAGUGCUGGAGGGGAGACUGGAAUUUACGGUGUAGCAGUGAAAUGCGUAGAUAUCGUAAGGAAGACCAGUGGCGAAGGCGAGUCUCUGGACAGCAACUGACGCUGAGGCACGAAGGCCAGGGGAGCAAACGGG
rnacentral:rRNA from 1 species